GCGCGGGUGGCGGAAUUGGUAGACGCGUACGUUUGAGGGGCGUAUGCCGCAAGGCUUGAGGGUUCGAUUCCCUCCUCGCGCA
rnacentral:tRNA from 1 species